rnacentral:rRNA from 1 species
UAAGGUGAUAUGAACCGUUAUAACCGGCGAUACCCGAAUGGGGAAACCCAGUGUGAUUCGUCACACUAUCAUUAACUGAAUCCAUAGGUUAAUGAGGCGAACCGGGGGAACUGAAACAUCUAAGUACCCCGAGGAAAAGAAAUCAACCGAGAUUCCCCCAGUAGCGGCGAGCGAACGGGGAGGAGCCCAGAGCCUGAAUCAGCAUGUGUGUUAGUGGAAGCGUCUGGAAAGGCGCGCGAUACAGGGUGACAGCCCCGUACACAAAAGCGCAUGUGCUGUGAGCUCGAUGAGUAGGGCGGGACACGUGGUAUCCUGUCUGAAUAUGGGGGGACCAUCCUCCAAGGCUAAAUACUCCUGACUGACCGAUAGUGAACCAGUACCGUGAGGGAAAGGCGAAAAGAACCCCGGCGAGGGGAGUGAAAAAGAACCUGAAACCGUGUACGUACAAGCAGUGGGAGCACCCUUUGGGUGUGACUGCGUACCUUUUGUAUAAUGGGUCAGCGACUUAUAUUCUGUAGCAAGGUUAACCGAAUAGGGGAGCCGGAGGGAAACCGAGUCUUAACCGGGCGUUAAGUUGCAGGGUAUAGACCCGAAACCCGGUGAUCUAGCCAUGGGCAGGUUGAAGGUUGGGUAACACUAACUGGAGGACCGAACCGACUAAUGUUGAAAAAUUAGCGGAUGACCUGUGGCUGGGGGUGAAAGGCCAAUCAAACCGGGAGAUAGCUGGUUCUCCCCGAAAGCUAUUUAGGUAGCGCCUCGUGAAUUCAUCUCCGGGGGUAGAGCACUGUUUCGGCUAGGGGGCCAUCCCGGCUUACCAACCCGAUGCAAACUGCGAAUACCGGAGAAUGUUAUCACGGGAGACACACGGCGGGUGCUAACGUCCGUCGUGAAGAGGGAAACAACCCAGACCGCCAGCUAAGGUCCCAAAGUCAUGGUUAAGUGGGAAACGAUGUGGGAAGGCCCAGACAGCCAGGAUGUUGGCUUAGAAGCAGCCAUCAUUUAAAGAAAGCGUAAUAGCUCACUGGUCGAGUCGGCCUGCGCGGAAGAUGUAACGGGGCUAAACCAUGCACCGAAGCUGCGGCAGCGACACUGUG